rnacentral:lncRNA from 1 species
GAGAAUCCACAGGAGGAAAGGAAUGUGGGAGAGGGGCAUCCCGGGGUUCGUAGCCCCUGCACUGGGCAGUGACCCUGCCACCCACCUCUGCCCUCAACUCAGCACUGGGACUGGCACUUUGAGUUGAACUUUGGGAAGGGCAAAGAAAAAGGAAGUUGCUGAUGACUGUAUUUGACCAUGGUCUUAACGUCUCCCUCAGAAGGGCGUUUUGCUGCAAAUCUAGGUUCAGAGAUUCUAAGUUGAUUCUUCCAGGCUCUACAGCAUCACAUCUGCUCAAGAACAGCUGUUUAGGCUGCGGCAAGGAUCAAAGGCAUGUGUAAUUCAAAGCUCCAGUGCUCUAAAAAUGGCAGACACUGCCUCUCUUUACAUAUAU